CUCUGAACAGGUCCUCUUGAUUGGCCCAUCUGUAGAAUCAAAGUGGGACUCAACACCGUUCCCUACUGAAGUUGAAUUAAUAAAUAAGGAGACUACUCACAACAUUUCGUCCCUCAUCCUGCCCUGUAACUGAUAGAAUUGCACCCAGUCAUGGGAGAGCUGUGUAAUUCAGCAUAAGGAAAUUCUGUUUUGAAAGGUCUGAAGAAAGAAAAGUUCAGGCUCCAGUGGUUUUCAGGCAUUGAAAACAGCACAAUUGUGCUUUUAUAUCCAGGUUCCGAAUAAAUACAGUGAAUGUCUUGUUUUCAUGUUUUAUAAAUCCUUUAUUCCUUUACCAUUGUUAGUGGACAAGUGGGUUGGCUUUUCUCUUAUAAAAAAUAUAAGAACAGAAUCUCAUUAGUUACUAUCUGAGAGCAGCAGGAGGAAAGCAACAUCAGUGCAGUUGUGCUUGCCUAAGAAAAUCCCAAUAUCACAUGCUGAAAGAAAGUAUAGUAUCCAGUGUCCAGCCACUGGAAAUGAAGGCUUGGUAGAUAAGUACCACCUUGGAAAUGCCAGUGAGUCUUGGUCUUCCCAGGCUGCACUUUAAGAGCAUGUCAGUGGUUUAGUGAUAUCCACUUUUCUCCAAACACACAAAUCGUAUUGUGAGCCUUGACAGGUAUUUCAGUAAAAACAAGAUUUUAGACAAGAUAAUUUCUCCCUUUACCUCUUUAUAUUACCUAUCCAUCCUUUAAAACUCAAGAUAAGAUUUUAUUUUUUUAAAAAAACCCCUAAAAUUAAGUGUAUCCUGCUGAUGUUUGAAAAAUAUUGGGAGGAACUUUGUUUUCAUCCAUGUCUUUCUGAAAUUGUGCAAUUGCAAACCAUGGGACAGUGCAGAAAAAAAAAAAAAAAGAAAAAGAGGGGAAAAAAAAGAAAAAAGAAGUCCUGGAAUGCUGGAAUGAAAGAUUCCAACAGUCUGCUUUGGUCACACUGGAUCACCCACUCUCCCACAGAGGGCAAUAUGAGAAGUGUUUUCAGGACACUGUUUAGUCACAGUUGGAGCUGGGUUUAAAAUAAGAAGGUGCAAUAUUGUACUUGAUCCCUUCUCCAGUUUGAGAGUUUUGCUCACUGCUGCUUGCACAGCUCAUUCCUGCUCAUGCUGGAAUAAAAGCUGAUUCCUACUGGGAUGACACAAGUACAUGAAGAGAGGGCCUGUGUCUCUUGGGAAGAGGGAUCAGCAUUUCAAUUUCAUAGUCUGAAGGCUUGGAACCUCUUCCCUAAGGCACAAGUGGGACAUCACUUCUUGGCCUCAGCUCUCAGCAGCUUCCUUGAGGGUGGCCAGUGAAGCAGGUGCCAUUUGCCUCUGCAGUUUGGAGGGCCUUAAAUUACUUCGUAAGGAGUCUUAGAGUGCUUCUGAAAUCCUGAAGAGAAUGUAAGAAAGUGGAUUUCUGUGAGUAAAUUGUGAAUGAGUA